rnacentral:lncRNA from 1 species
UCAUCGGCUAUUUUAUUAGCUAAUCACUAGCAAGUAUUUACACAUCAUUCAUUGUUCAUAUUAUACCAAAAGUAGCUAAGUUUCUAUACAUGCCAUACCCAAAACAAAAUGUCUAGUUAUACCGAGUUAUUUCUUUGAUAGUGUGAUCGGCCUCCGACGUUUCCUUCGAUCCCCGAGUGACUAGAUAAGUACUAUAAGAAGAAGAAAAUAAAUAGAUUAAGCACUAGGCUUAGUAAGCUUACAAGCAAAUAAAUCACAACAUUCAACAUAAUGGAUAAUUAUGCAUAAUAUCAUCUAACAUCAUAAAUUUCUUUACUUCUCAAUUUCUAUCUUCUUCUUUAUUCCCUUACCUUCUUUCUUACCUGACCUUUCCUUUUUCAUAAGUAUAAUCUACUUUUCCUUUGCUGUUAAUUCACUGUAAUUUAACUCGUAUCCUGACCCGUUGAACCACUCGGAAUAUUAAGGAUACUAGGGUCGUUCCUGUCUAUCAAUAUCCUGCCAAUGCUAUAUCUUUGACAUGGACUUACAUGAAUUAUUCCUGUCUCCAAUGCCAUAUAUAAUAUGGACUUACAUGGCUCAAUCCUGUCUCCAAAGCCAUAUUUCUAAUAUGGACUUACAUGGCUCAUUUUUGUUUUGUCCUGUCAACCCUAAUAUCCUAACAUUCCUAGGGUUCAACCGGGGCUUUCUAACACUUUUCCUCUGUCACUUCACCUUAAAUUUGACUUUAAAUAUUUUCAUAACAUAAUAUAUAAAUGCUGGAAAUUGACAAUAAUAAUGUAAAAUAAAAGAAUAUCGCAUUUUUUUACUGUAACUUACCUUGAUACAAAAUGUGACUAAACUUUACAAUUUAGUCCUUUACUUUUUCUUUUCCCCGAUCCACUCCCGAAUUUCGUUCUUCUUGAUCUAUAAUAGCAAAUUUAACUUAUUUAAUAUUCACAUUUAUUAAAACGGUCCUUGACCCAACUUUUGCAAAAUUAUAAUUUUACCCCUAAACUUUCACAUAUUUGCACUUUUGCCCCAAGGCUCGUAAAUUAAACUUCAUCUUAUUUUCUUAUGUUUUAUGACAUGCUGAUCAUUUUUCCCUUCUAUGGCAAUAUCAAAAUCACACUCUAACAUAUACUUAUGACUAUUGGUAUUUUUUAUCCAAUUUAAGCCAUUUUACUCGUUUUCACUUAAAACCGAGUAGCAUAAGUUGUUUAACAUAAUUUAAAACCUCAUAUUCUAUCAUAAAACACCAAAAUACACAAAAUUCAGCCAUGGGUAUUUUUCCAAAUAUGAACCCUAUGUUGAAUUAUUGCUAGAAUAAGCUUAAUCAAGUUACCGGGACUCCAAAAACGUAAAGAUCAUUAAAAACGGGGCUUGGAAUCACUUACUAUGAAGCUUGAAAGUUGAAGAAAUCCCAGCUAUGGAGGAGAGCAAAAAUUGGCAGAAACUAAUUGAGAAGAUGACCAUUUUUGUGUUAUUUUUCCCUUUUUAAUUCAUUUAAUAUCCAAAUGACCAAAUUACCCCUCCUUACUAAACUUUCAAAAAUUCCUUCAAUGUCCUAAUUUUUGUCCAUGAACUUAAAAUUGGUCAAAUUGUUAUUUAAACCCUCCUAAUUAAUAUUCCAAAGUAAUUUCAUACUAAAAACUUCUAGAAUGCAAGUUUUGCAAAUUAUUCGAUUUAGUCCCUAACCUCAACUUAAGCACUUUAUGCAUAGAAUUUCAUCACAAAAUUUUCACACAAUCAUGCAAUCAUACCAUGAACCUCAAAAUAAUAAUAAAAUAAAUUUUUCUACCUCAAAUUUGUGGUUUCGCAACCACUAUUCCGUUUAGGCCCUAUUUCGGGAUGUUACAAGGUCCUCCCAAGUUCAGCAAUAGCUCCGGUGAAGCAAGCAGCAGGGAGAAGAAGAGAAAAAGAAAGAAAAAGAGAAGGAGAAUGAGAAGGAGAGGGUGGCACUGGUGAGGGAAAAAGAAGAAAGAAAAAGAAAAAGAGAAUGAGAGAAUAGAGAGAAAGAAGGAAGGAGAAAGAGAAGAGAAAAAAAUCUAAUAGAGAAAAGGUAAUUUAUUUUAUUUUAUUUUAUAAAGGAGGCCGUGCAUCCUUGGUGCCGCCUCUGGCACCUCCACCUUCAGUCUGCCUCUGGCACCUCCUCCGUCACUUUUUUUACCAGCUUUUUAGUUUUUUUUAACAAAUUUUUAUUUUUUUAAAUUUUUUAAUAGAUUUUUUGUCAGAUUUUGGGGUGGUUACGCCUCUGACAUAGGCAACACCACCCCGAGUGUACCAUUUUGGUACAUGAUAUUUUUAUUGUAUUAUUUUUAUGUGUGUGUGUGUUUUUUUUUUGGUACUAUUUUGGUAAAAAACCCAAACUAAACUGACAAAAUUAAAAGCACCACUAAUUUUAUCAUUAUCAAGGGCUUCAAAUAACUUCAUAGGGGCUUUUGGCAAGACAUGUACCCCUUUUGCAUCCACAAUAACUAUAUUUACAAUACGACCAACAACAUGAUUAGUCUCCCUAGGUAUAUGCCUUAUCACCCAAUGUUCUUUGUUUUGUAACAACUGCUGAAUUUGCACGGCUAAUGCUGAAAUCAAAUUUGGUGAAGUUCUUCCUUGGAUUGCUUGGGAUGCCUUAAGGCUAUCAAUUUGGAAUAAAUGAACUAAAUCCUAAACAUGGCUGAACUCAUAGUAGUGGGGUUAAAGUCAAUUCGAAAAAAAUGACAUUUAAGUUAUUAAUGUCCUAAAUUAAAAUAUAUUUUUUAGGUAUGAUCAAAGAUAGAUUUCAUGUUUAAGGUUCAUAAAGAUAAAUUUUCGAGGUUACACUACAGGAAAAUAGGGCUUUAGCGGCGUUUUUUGAAAAAACGCCGCCAAAAUUUUAAAAUUCAGAGCAAUAGCGGCGUUCUAAAAAAAACGCCGCUAAAAACAGAGCAACAGCGGCGUUUUAGUAAAAAACAGAGCUAAAAGCCAGAGCAUUAGCGGCACUUUCUGUAAAACGCCACUAAAAGCCAGAGCAUUAGCGGCGCUUUCGGUAAAACGCCGCUAAAAGCCAGAGCAUUAGCGGCGCGUUAGGUAAAACGCCGCUAAAAGCCAAAGCAUUAGCGGCGCUUUCGGUAAAACGCCGCUAAAAAUCUCAUAACCCCUAGAAUCAUAAACACUAAUCUAUAACCCCUAAAACAAUAAUUAUUAAAAUUUAUGAUUAUACAAUAUAUUAAAUAUUUUCUUAUAUAAUCGUAAAAGAGAUAGCAUUGAAUUUAAAAUAUUGAAUUAAUUAUCAUUAUAGUUUAAGGUUUAUGGUUUAAGCAGGUUUAAUUAUGGUUAACUAUGGUUUAAGGUUUAGGAGUUAAUUAGUAUUUGAAGGUUUAUGAUGAAUUCGGGGUUUAAGGAUUAUGAUUUAGGGUUUAAAGGUUAGGGUUAAAGUUUACAAUGGGACAAUUAUUAAUUAACUUCUUAAGAGAUAAUUUCCUUUCCAGAUUCUUACUUGGGAUGCUAUUAAGAAAGGGUGAUUUUGAAUGUGGAAUUAGCAUUUGUUGAACUAUGUAUAAUUUCUUAUAUAACAUAGAAAUAUCUUACAGAGUGGACAUUAUAACUAGAGUGUUCCAAUAGAGAAUUAAUUGUUUUAUUAAAGUUAUGUAACUUUGUAUAAAUAAUAAUGCUAUUGUGUAUUUUUAAUUAUCUAUUUUUUUGUUUAAAUAUAUUUAGAUUAAAUAGAAUGACUGAAAUAAAAUAUGUUAAAAAUUAAGUUUAGGUUAGGGUUUAAGGAAAUGAUACUAUUAGCUAGAAAUUAACUGAAGAAAAUUUGGAUUUUACUAAGAUUCAUGUUAUUUUGUAUAUACGUACUCAUAUUAUUUAAUAUAAGAAUAUAAACAUAUAUAUGUGUUUUAAUUUGUACUACACUAACAUUGGCCACACGAAUUCCCAAUAAUAUGUUUAUUAUGGUUUAGGGUUAACAAUUUUUAGAGUACUUUACUGUUUGGGCUUUAUGGUCUAGGAGUUAUGGUUGGUUUAGGGGUUACCGAAUGGUUUUGGGGUUUAAAGUUUGGGGCUAGGGGUUCUGUGUUUGUGGUCUAAGGUUUAGGGUUUUAGAGUAUCAAGUUUAGGGUUUCAAAUUUAGAGUAUAAUUUUGGAUUUUAAUUUAGAAGAUAAAUGUAUAUAAGAUAAAUAUAUAUAAAAUAUUAUUUUAAAAAAUAUAUAAAUAUAUAUAUGAAAAGUGAUUUAGUGUGCAAUUGUGUACAUGAACUGUGAUUUGAUUUAGAUCUUGUAAAAUAUUUACACGUUAUUGAUAUAAUUAUAAAUAGCAUCAUGUUUUUAUUUAAUUAAUUUACAUGCAUACAUAAUAUGUAUUUUAAAAUGUGUAUUAAAUCAAAAUUAAAGUUUCAACUAUAGUUAGGGUUUUAGGGUUUAUAUAUAAUUUAAAAGAAAUUCUAAAUAUAUAGUUUUAAAUUUUGAUCAAUUUCUAUAAAAUAUUCAGGUAUUAGCGGCGUUUAUACAUAAAACGCCGCAAAAGAUAGAAAAUAGCGGCGUUUUUAUAAAAAAACACCACAAAAUUUCAUUAUAGAUUAAAGUAAAACGGCGUCGUUUCCUCUGAAUAGUAGUGGCUUUAGCGGCGUUUUUAUAAUAAACGCCACAACGCGUAUUAGAACGGCAUCAUUUUAUAGUGUAGAUAAAAUAGGUGUUAGUGGCGCUUUGCUGAAAACGCUGCAAAAUGUCUUAUUAGCGGCGCGUUGCUGAAAACGCCACAAAUUUCCCUUAUUUGAAACGGUGUCAUUUUUUCUCUCCUGAGGUUUAUGCCCUUUACCCGAAAUCAAUUUCAUUUUUUUACUAAGUCAUUUUCCCCCAUCUUGUCUUCCUUCUCCAAAUCCCCAAUCCCUAACGAUUUUCCCUUAAUCUGUUCCCCCAUCCCCGAAAUCCCUAACGAUUUUCCCUUUCCUCUCGUCGACGGUCAUAUGCUUCAUUUCUCUCUCAAUUCUCCUCAUUUUCGCUUUCUCAGGAGCAAAACAGGUGCGUUUUUUUAAAACUUUUCUUGUUCAUUUUUAUAUACCCAUUUCUUGGAUUAUGUGUAAAUAUGUUGCCCUUUGGAUCUGAUUUGGAUUUUUUUGUUUAUUUCUUGUUUUUGGUACUGUAGAACAGAUUUGGGUUUUUAUUUAAAUUUAGUUUCAUGAAUUUGGUUGGUUGUGUUUCGUUUUGAUUUGAUUUUGUUGAUCUGUGUGGAAUUUUCUUGAAUUUAUUGGAUUUUUUUUUCAUUUUUUGAUAUUGUAUAUCUCAGAUUGCAUUGAAUAGUCUAGUUUUAUGUUGCUUUAAGUAUUAGUUUACUUAAAGUACUUAAGUACAUGGAAAAAAAUUAGAAAAAAAAUGAAUACAUUUAUGUUAUACAUACAUACAUACAUAUAUAUAUUCAUAUCAUAAGCCUAGUUUUACUUCAAGUACUCAUGUUCGAACCCUUUUAAAUACAUAAAAAGAAUCUAGAAAAAAAUAAAAUUGAGUACAUCUAUGUUAGAUAAGUAUCUGUAUCUGACACUAACAUCUAAGUAAUAUAGGCUUAGUUUAAAGCUUGUUUCUGUGAUACCCUUCAUGAAAGAUGCAAUACUCUUAUAAUCUGAGCAUUCGCUUGUUCGAAAUUUGAACUUUAUAACUGAAUGUGCUUGGUUGAGACAAGCUCGAGGCUGCAAUUUCCUUUAAUGUUUAUCGAUCUUGAUAGAUUAAUGCAAUAAUAGUUCGCAUUUUGUGCUUCUUAGGAGGAAGAGAAGAUUGUAGAAGAAGAGCAUGAAAUCACUCACAGAGUAUACUUGGAUGUGGAUAUUGAUGGCCAGUGUGUAGAUACAACGCCUUCACCUAUUCCUACAGGAUAGGAUAAGUGAUGAGAAGAAAUCUUAUCCUUUUUUUAGCUUACAUUUUCUUUUUUGUGUAAUUUGUGUUUUACAGGUAGAAUAGUUAUUGGAUUGUAUGGCGAAGUUGUACCAAAAACUGUCGGUAUGUUUUAAAUUUUAAUUUUUCGUCCAGUAGUUUUAGUUCUUUGUAAACUUAAUUUCUUGAAACCGUUGGCUCGUUAGCAAAAUGUACAAGCUACUCUCAGCCUUGUCAUAUGCCGUUAAUUGGUAAAAGUACCAUGAAAGCCUCUAUACUAGGAGUCGGAUUGCAUUUUGUACCAUUAAAUGUUGUUUAUUUUUAGAACUCAUUUGAUUGUUUGUCGACCAGAAACAGACUUCUGUUCUUCAAAUGCAAUGAGUAGGGAAGUCUCUCGACAUUAUUAGAGAUCAAUCCCAAGCAUCUCCAAAUAAACCCUCAAGAAAACAUUUCCAAUUCAAUCAAGGUAAACAUUGUCUUCCCUAACAUUUAUGUUUCUUUCAACAUGUUUUUACUUUUAUGUUGAUAACCUCAUUUAAGAUACUUUUUUUUAAUUUAGGAUAAAAAAGAGUGGGAAACUUUUAGACUGGACUUUAAUUUCUUCCUUUUCCAACCUAAUUGCUAGAAAUGUAAGGAACAAAAAGGAAGAAAGUGAAAAAGUAUAUUCCCAUUCUCACAUGUUAUGUUUUCUCUUUAGCUUUCAAGCUUUAGCUAGCCACCAUCAUUAUUUAAUCUUCAACACUCUCCUUGAUUAAUUCCCUUAAACAAAUUCAAAUCAUUAUUAUCCAAUGUUUCUUAAACAAUUGCAUUUCAUUAUUAUAAUUUUUUCAAGGGUCCCAUUAAAAUGGUUUUUAUGAAUUUAACCUAAAAUUUAUUAUAUUUCUAUCAAAUAUGAUGUUUUUUGUCCGAAUAAUGUACAUUUACAUCAUUAAUUUGGUAAUAAGGUGUAAUAUUCUUGAGACUUGUUUUGUGGGCCGGCAAGAGUUGGAUUUGAUAUUAACGACAUUGAUUUAUGUUUAAUUUAAUAUAUUAUCAUAAAUCUUAAUUAAAAUUUAAAAGACAUUAAGUCUUUAGAUUAUGACAAUGAUUUAAACAUUCAGAAACUUAUGUACAACGUUAUGUGUGAUGUGUAUCAGAAUUCAGAAAAUAAAAAUAUCACAGCAUUUGUUUAUUCUUUUAAGACAGGAAAGUGCCUUAGUGUUCGAUUCAAACGAUAGUUAUUUGUGUUUCUCAUUUUAAUCCUCUUUAUUCCUUUGUCCUCAUGCCAUCUUGUUUCUAACAAUGUAAUCACCGCAAAAUGAGUUUAGGACUUGGGUGUACCAGGUUUAACCUCUCAGCUAGAGUUUAAUUUGAAUUUAGUUGGACGAUAGUUAUGUUAGUUUUCAUCAAGGCCUCUGUAAACAUAAAGUUGGUAUUCUGGUUAGGAGAAGUUAAUGUUUAUGAGUUUUGUGCAGUAUGAUUCUGCACAUGCAAAGUUGGUUUGUUUAAAGCUGUGCAUUUUCAUGUUUACAUAAUAAUGGUGAUUCCAUUUUGGUUUUUUAGAUGUUCUUUUGGUCUGUUUUCAUGUUUCUAUCCAACUUAUGUGUUUACUGUGCAGUUUUGCCAGAUUUUGCUGUGGUGUACAGCUUCAUUGGCAGUGUCUUUGAUCCUGGUACAAGUGGGCACUUGCAAAACUGAUAUAGAUAAAGUUUUUAUAUUUGCUUAAACUGAAAUAUAUUUGUGCUACUCUUAUAAUCUUACGUCUGUUCUAGGUACUAUCGAGCUCCUGAAUUAAUAUUUGGUGCAACUAAAUACACCACAGCUAUUGGCAUUUGUUCUAGGUACGUACAGGUUUGGUUGCUAAAUUUUUUUCAUUAUUUCUAUGCAUUUUCACUUUAAAUUACUUAACAAAUAUUACUUUUUUGACUCCAGCCUCUGUUUGCUGGUGAGAGUGGAGUAGACCAGGUACGUUUUAUUAAGGUAGGCUUUAUUUCAAAAUUAUAAUCAAUAAUAGUUUUAUCAUGAUGAUUUUGGAAAAAUUAAUAUUUUGGGGUUGCGAUAUUGUAAAGAUUUAAUUGUUGGUUCUGUUUGGAGUAAAACUAUUUUGUUUCCAAGUUAAUUUUAAAUAUUUGGUUCAACUUAAUUAUUAUUUGAUUCAACUUAAGUAUGAAUAGGUAUGAAUUAAUUUUAUUACCGUGUAGCUUGCUUGUCCAUUAAAAUUACAACAAUAGCUGACCUUCUCUCCAACCUUGUUUUAAAUAUUUUAAAGAUUCAAAGUAUAUAGGCUGGAAACCUGACGGGUUGCCUUAUAUCGAGCUGCAAGAUAUAAUGGAUCCUCCCUAGGUGUAACAACGCCACGUAUGAUGAAUCUUAAAAAAUUCAAAAAGACUUGAAAAAAGUUCUAUCGAGCUCAUUUACUAUUGAAUAUUUAUAUAACCUUAAUUUAUUUCCAAUUUACUUAUAAAAAUUAAACUACGAUUCUUUUUGAUAUUAUUAUAUUCAAAAUACUAUUUUUUUAUAUUAAUAAUGUUUGAUUUUAAUAUUUAAAUAUUUUAAAGAUUCAAAGUAUAUAGGCUGGAAACCUGACGGGUUGCCUUAUAUCGAGCUGCAAGAUAUAAUGGAUCCUCCCUAGGUGUAACAACGCCACGUAUGAUGAAUCUUAAAAAAUUCUCCGUUUUAUCACAAUAUUAUCGUCCAUUUUACCGUUUAAGUUAAACUUUUUAUUCAAACUAAAUCAUAGCUUUUAACCUAAAUACGGAUGUCCACACAGUGCUUUAAUAUGUACUUAAGAAAAGAUGACUUGUAAAACAUAAAUUAAAUUAAGUGUGGACUAUUUUAAUUGCACAUGUGAUUUGUCAAAUAAAAACGAACGACAUGUAUAUUACUUAAUUAAAAUAAUUUUUAUAAAUAUUAUUUAAUUAAAUAUUAUUUAAUCCCGCUACUUACCUGUAGAUACUUGAUACUUGAUAUGUAUUAUCCAUGUGAUUUUCCACAUCGUGAAAUAAAAAACUUACAUAAUACAUAAAUAUAUUUGAUAUCAUAAUUUAUAUAACUUACAAAACGUACAUAACUUAUAUAACGUAGAUAAAUAUAUAAUUUACAUAAAUAUAUAUCAUAAAUUACAUAACUUACAUAAUACUUAAAUAUAUCAUAUCAUACAUAACUAGUUUACAAAUUUACUUAACUUACAUAAUACAUAAAUCUAUAGUUGAAAAUCCUGCAACUUGCCUAAAUUAGUUUUAUACCCAUUAGAGACUUGAUAUUUAGUAUAAUGAUAUGAUUUAAAUCAAUGAGAACAUUUAAGUAACUGUAAUAUGUUGUCAACUUUAGAUUUCAAGAACUACAAAAUGGAUAGGAGUUGGAUGAAAUUGUCAAGGGUAAGCAAUGCCUAUCAAAAUGGAGUACAAACUUUUCUAAAUUUUGCAUUUCAAAUGCAAGCCAAGAGAAUAUGAUUCUUUGCCCGUGUAAGAAGUGUGGCAACAUCUACUGGCAUUUUCGUGAAGUUGUAUACGAACAUCUAAUUGUUGAUGGCUUUAUUCGGGGGUAUAAAAAAUGGAUUUUCCAUGGAGAGUGUACAUCUAGUGGAACUUCUUCAACGAUUAAUCCGACUUAUCCUGAUACUGAUUACCAUCAGUAUGUUAGACAAGAUGACAUGGAAGAUAUGUUGCGGGAUGCAUUUAAUAUGCGUAGUCAUGGUGAGCAAUCGUUUCCACCUGACUUUAUUAUAUCUGAGGAUUGUAAUAUUGGUGGAAAUGUUUUUUGCGAAACGGGAACAAGUGCACCUAAUGAGGAGCCAAAUGAAGAAGCGGCUAAGUUCUACAAUUUACUUAAUGAAAUGAAUGAAGAACUUUACGAGGGAUCAAAAUAUUCGAAAUUGUCCUUCUGCAUUCGUCUAUUCAUUUAAAAUGUUUGGGAGGGUGGACCGGAAACUCUUUUACAAUGCUGCUAGAGUUUCUAAGAGAGAUGUUUUCGUUUGCAAAAAUUCCCCAGUCUUGUCAAGACAUGAAGAGACUAAUAAAAGAUUUGGGCCUUGGGUACGAUAAAAUUCAUAGUUACCCAAAUGACUGCAUGUUGUACUGGGGUGAUAAAAAAAACCAACAAUUUUGUCAUGUUUGCGGUAAGUCUCGUUGGAUGAAUAGUAAUACAGAAGAUGUGAAUACGGAUGAAGGUGGGGCACAGUUAAGAAAGAAGCCAGUCAAGGUCUUGCGAUAUUUUCCCCUGAUACCAAGACUUCAAAGGCUUUUCAUGUCCUCAAAGACAGCCGAAUAUAUGACGUGGCAUAAUGAUCAACGGACCGAUGAUGGAUUAUUAAGACAUCCUUCGGAUUCUUUAGCUUGGAAAUCAUUUGACAGUAAAUUUCCAAGCUUUGCAAGCGAUCCUCGGAAUGUGAGGCUUGGGCUAGCAGCUGAUGGCUUUAAUCCAUUUAAAAUCAUGAGUACUUCGUACAGUACUUGGCCUGUAGUGCUUGUUCCUUACAAUUUGCCUCCAUGGAUUUACAUGAAGCAAUCUUCAUUUAUUUUAUCAAUGAUUAUCCCUGGAGAGAAAGGUCCCGGAACAUGAUAUUGACAUCUAUUUGCAGCCACUUAUUGAAGAGUUAAAACAAUUAUGGUCGGGUGUUGAGACAUAUGAUGUAUUGAGAAAGGAGAACUUUAAUUUACGUGCAGCUUUAUCGUGGACAAUUAAUGAUUUCCCGGCUUAUGCUAAUUUAUCGGGUUGGAGUACUAAAGAACGUUAUGCCUGUCCUUGUUGUGCUGCGCAAACUUGUUCAAAGUGGUUGUAUAAUGGGAAGAAGUUCUCUUACAUGGGCCAUCGUCGGUGGUUAGAUGAAAUCAUAAAUUUAGAUUUCAGAGGACUCUAUUUGACGGUACUAAAGAGUACAGAGGAGCUCCUGAGCAGACCGUUGGAUCUGAAAUCUUGUUUAUGUUAAAAGAUAUCAACUUUAGUUACGGGAAGAUGAAUCAACCACCUAUCACGCAAACAAGGAGAAGAUCGAUGGAUGAAUCUGAUGAUGAAUCUGACGAAGAGGAUGAUCCUAAUGAGGCGGAGUUGUGGAAGAAAAUGAGUAUUUUUUUGAGUUGCCUUAUUGGGAGCACAACAUUUUACGCCACAAUCUUGAUAUCAUGCAUAUUGAAAAGAAUGUCUGCGAGAACAUAAUUGGGACAAUUUUAAAUGUCGAUGGAAAAUCAAAAGACAAUCUUCAGAGCCGACUUGAUUUAGUUGACAUAAGAAUCCGGCGUGAUCUUCAUCCUCAAGUACUUCCGAAUGGGAAAUAUCGGUUGCCGCCUUCUAUUUUUUCAAUGUCAAAGAAAGAGAAAGAAGUUUUCUGCAUGGUGUUGAAGGAUAUAAAGGUCCCAGAUGCAUAUGCGUCAAAUAUAUCUCGAUGUGUGAGUUUCAAAGAUAGAAGAUUAUAUUCAAUUAAAAUCACAUGAUUACCACAUCUUGAUGCAAGAUUUACUCACAAUUGCUUUACGGUGCUGUAUGUCAAAAAAUGUAACGUCCUGUAUAAUUGAACUAUCCAAUAUAAUGAAAGCUAUCUGUGGCAAAGUUUUGAAUGUCGAAGAACUUGAGAAAGUACAGGAUCGAGCGGCUUUAACUUUAUGCAAUUUAGAGAAGAUCUUUCCACCUUCCUUCUUCACUAUUAUGGUGCACUUGGUAAUCCAUCUCCCUCACGAAGCAAUCCUUGGUGGACCGGUUUUUUAUCGAUGGAUGUAUCCUAUAGAAAGGUGCUAAUUUAUUUCUCAAGUAUUCAUUCAUUCACCUCUAUACAUUAGUUACAAGCUUUUGAUAAUAUUGUAUAUCGUGUUAGGUUCCUAAGCAAAUUGAAGUCAUAUUGUCGCAACAAGCGUUAUCCAGAAGGAUCAAUUGCUGAAGGCUUACUUGGCAGAAGAGUGCAUGACCUUCUGUUCUAGAUAUUUAGAAGAUGCUGAAACACGAUUGAAUAGACCAAGUAGAAAUGCUGGGCUCAAUGAUAAUGACUUGGCUUAAACUUAUUUAUUUCAAAGUUAUGGAGAACCAAUCGGCAAAGUUGAAAUUGUAGAAUUAGAUGAUAUAUCGUGAAUACAGGCACAUCGAUAUGUACUUUUUAACCACGAUUCAAUUGAACCGUUGCGCAAGUAAGUUAUAAAAUUGUCUUACAUAUUCGUCGGUUUGAUUUGUUUAUCUUCUAACCAAUUAAACUUGUUUUUAAUAUAGUGAGUACAAACAAAUUUUGAGAUCUCGUGCACGCUCUCGAAGAUUACAACAUCGAGAGAUUAAUAAGUUAUUCACAGAAUCUUUUCAUGAAUGGUUAAGUCAAACGGUAUGUAACUAAAGUUAAUAAGUUACAUAUAAUCGCGAAAUUAGUUAAUCAAAUAAGAAUGUUUUUACAUAAUACAUUUUUUAAUUAUUUAAUUUACUUUCGAUUCAAUAGGUUUUGGAGUGGGAAGGACGUCAAUGACGAAGUUAAAUGGCUUUCCCAAGGUCCGAACAGAGUAAUAAAAAGAUAUAGUGCCUUCCUCAUCAAUGGAUACAGAUUCAUACAACGUAUCGCGAGAGAAUGAGGAGAACUCAAAAUUGUGGAGUUGUUGUUAAUUCUUCAAUUACAAGUAUGCUAGUGCUAGGGAUAGUAAUCCGGUUGAGGGUAAUGUGGAGUAUUACGGACUUCUUACCGACAUUAUUGAGUUGGAUUACUAUGGCAGAUGGAAAGUUAUCUUAUUUCGGUGUGAUUGGGCAGAUGUUAAUACUGCUCGAAAAAAAAGAUCAAUUUGGGUUUACAAUGGUGAAUUUCUCUCGCUUGAUUCACACUGGACAACAAUUGAUGGACGAGCCAUAUGUAUUUUCCUCUCAAGUGAAACAAGUUUUUUAUUCAAAAGAUCCAACUGAUGAGGGUUGGUAUGUUGUACUCCGGAACACCCCUAGAGACUUGUUUGACAUGGGUAAUGGAAGUAGAGAUGACAUCGUCGAAGAUCAGAAACAUUACCUUUUCUAGAACAAAACUUAGAUGAAAAUCCCUAGUACUAAUACACAACAUCAAUGGGUUCGACAUGAUGUGGAUGAAGAUAUUUACGAAUAAUGAUGUAGUAAGAUUUUACAAUUUUUUAAUUAUAUGUAAUAUUAUAAUUUUAAUCUUUGUCAUGUUAUAUAAUUUAACUAUUUUUAUAUACUACUAUAGUUGUAAUUUGUUACUAAAACUUUAAUUAUUUUAUGUGUAUUGCAGGAAAAAUGCGUAGAAGAAGAGUACGAGAUUUAAGUAUUGUCCAGAAUACUCCAAAUUCGGAAGAAAGAAAUAGUGAACAGCAGACAGUUGUUGGAUCUUCGAAUGUGCCGGAGACACUUGAUGAGCCUGAAGAAUUUCAAAGUAUAUUAUGUUCAUUUUACAUGUGUUGACUUUUAUUAUUGAAUUAUUUGUCAAUUUUACUAUAAUAAUAGUAUCAUUUUUCAGCUGAAAGUGGUGGGACGCGCAGAGUUCGAGGACGUACGCUACUUAGAGAUUUAUACGACUUAGAUCCUGUUGAGCGUGUUAAAGUAAGUAGAAAUACUCAUGGUUAGCCUGUUGGAUCUGAAGCUCGACUUUUAGCAGGCUAUUUGGGCAUUUUAGCACGAAAUGCAAAUAUAUUGCCCAUCAACUAUGAAUCAUGGCAUCACAUGCCUGAUAGCAACAAAAAUCAGGCUCUCGCUAAUAUUAAGGUAACAAAAUGUGAAUGCAAUUAAUACUUUGGUUUAAGUUCAUUUAUAUUUACAUUCUAAACUUAUGUUUUUUUAGGAGAGAUUUCUUUAGAAGUCUCCGAUGAUUAUAUCAAGAAGGCAUUAGGUAAAAGAUGGAGAGACAAUAAAAGCACUUUAAAGAAACAAUAUUUUAAGAAAGACAUAAGCCUCGAGGAAAAACUGAGAAAUGUUCCGCCAGGAAUGCUGAGGUAUCAAUGGGAAGAUGCGGUUAGAUUUUGGAAUUCAAAGAAUGAGAGGUAUUGCGUAUUUCCAAACUCUUAUAUAUAGUUAUAUACGUAAUAAUAAUUUUAUUAUGUAGGACUGUGAGCGAGUUGGAACAACAGCAGGCAAAAACAAAAAUUCACGCACACGGCUGGGUCGAGAAGUUUUGCUUCUGUAGCUGAGGCCGAGGUAUUAUGAAUUUAUUAAUUCUUUCAAAUUAAUAACUUUCUAUUAUUAAAUAAUAUUCUUACUAUAUUGUAGGAAGUCAAAUCCGGAUAAAAGUUGGACGCCUUCACUUUUUGAGAUUACGCAUAGGAAGAAAGAUGGAUCUCCUAUGACAUCCGAAGCUGGAAAUUAUGGUAUAUUCACUAAUAAUAUUUGAUUUAUUCUAAAUAUUUAUAAUCUCUUAAUUAUAAUUGUUUAAUUCAAUUCAUCAUUAGUAGUUUUAAAAAAUGUUAAGUUAUGAUGCAUUUCUUUUAUUAUAUAUUCGUUUCUAACUCUUUAAUUGAUUUUUUUAGGAGAAACUAAAGGAGAAGAAGGCGGAAUAUGAAGCGAUUGCUUCGAGUGAUAGUUCUGUUAAUCUUGAGAACAUUGAUAACAGAAUUAUCACUGAAGUUUUGGGUCUUGAAAGGUACGGUCGGGUUCGAUUUCAAGGAUCUGGUGUUACCCGACCCAAUAUUUUGGAUCCGGCUCCCAGCAAUACAUGCCUUCCGGAAGUCAAGCUCAAGCUGAAGUUCAGAGGUUAAGAGACCAGAUAGCUCAGAUGCAAGCGAACACGGUUGAGCAAAUUGCCGAGGUUCAACGAAAAUAUGAAGAACUCCAGCAACAACUUAGAGCAGAAGCAGCAGAGAGGGAGGCAGCGGCUGUAGCGAGAGGCAGAGGCACGAGCGAUGGUAGCAGAACAGAGCAAAAAGUACGAUGACCUCCAGCUACAGCUUCAGCAGAUGAUGCAUAUGUUUCAACAAUCGCAAAAGCCGCCGUCUUAGACAUUAGUUUUCUUAUUGUAAGAAUGUUUUUAAGUUUUGUCACGUUUAACAUUAUUGUAAAAAUAUUUUAAAUUAUACUUUAUUAUUAAUUAUAUCAUAUAUCUUUAGUUAAAUUUGAAGUAUCAUUAGAAUUAAUAUUUUUGGUUGUAUUUUUUAUGUUAAAUUUGCUGUUUUGGGCUGCAUUUUAUAUUAUAUUUGUUGUAUUUGGUUGGAUUUUAAUGCAGGAAGGGCUGAAUAUUGGUGAAAAAAAAUACUACAAAUCUGCCCAAAUUUAGUGGCGUUUGUAAAAAAAGCGCCACUAAAAGCCUUAACGUUUAGCGGCGCUUUUCCCACAAAUGCCGCUAAAAGCCUUGACCUUUAGCGGCGUUUUUUUCCAAUAAACGCCACAAAUUUUUGUGGUGUUACAUAUAACAGUGUUUUUUGCGGCGUUUUAGAAAGCGCCGUUAAAAGUUUUAGUGGCGCCUAAAAGCGCCGCUAAAAGUCUGUUUUCCUGUAGUGCAACUUAAUUGUUUUCCUUGUAUUUGUGCUUAAUUGGAAAAUAUCCUAAUCUUGUGAGAAUUAUUCUUUAUUUUUGUUUCUUUUUAUUUUCUUUGAGAGGGUUUGUGCCUUAAGGGAGUUUGUAAGGUUAAAUCUUAUCCUCAAAGGUUAUCGAAUUAAUGAAUUUGAGAAAAUUCUUAGUAGUGGAAAGUUAAGGCAGUGGAGUAGAUAAUUGGGGCUAAACCACUAUAAAAUCUUGUGUUCAUUUUUCUAUCCUUUAUCUCUAACAUCCAUAAAAUUUUUAAAAGUCAAUUCACCCAUUUCUUGGCAAUUUCAAUUUAAUUAUUUGAGCUAUCAGUUCGUUAAUAACCCUUCCCACAAGACCACCCAAAAAAAUGUUAGACUCGAUACGACAUAGACAACUUCCAAACCAGUUUACAACUGUCAUUUGGUGAUCCUAAAUUACCACAUAUAAUUUCUUUAUAUGUCGUUGCUACGAAGAACCUCUCCGAGGUAGCUGGUUUUUGUAUACAUUAAUAAGACCCAAUGUUCAACAGGGGUACAAGCAUAGUUGCAAUGCUAUCACGUAUUUAAGCAUGAAGCAUAUUGACCAUCCCCUUCCAAUCCCAAUGCAAUCACGAUGUCCAUAACCAAUAUGUCUUCAAACCUCGGCGACGGGGAUGUAACAAGUUCAAUUAAUGGCCCCACGACCGACAAAAAAUCAUCCACCCAAAAUCGGACUAAGGUACCAUUCUCAAUAGUGUUGGAUCUACUGUCUUAAGUGUAGAAUAUUCGUUUUGCAUACUUGUAUUUUCAAACAAAUUGACUUAAUAAUAAUAUCCAUUAAUUACUUUUUGUAUCUUGCCCUCAAUGUUUUUGCAUGCAAAGCAAAAUGAAAGCAAAUAUUGACUCACUAGUUAUCUAACGUUUAACUAAUACUAAGCAUAUUACGUGGUCGGAUUGUAAUACGAAAAGACAACUUGUACUAGUAGAUGAACCUAAACAUGUCCUUAAUCUAAUCAGAAAAAGAAAACCAAUUGAAAGACUAAUAUGUCAUUUAUCAAGUCUGAUUGGGGAGAUGUUUUGUCUUGAGCAUCGGAGCAGAGGACUCCUUAAAAGAUAAGACAUAGAAGUGACUGGCUAAACUGACUGUAAAUCAAACAAGACUCUAGUAGAAUAGAUCCUAGAUCUAUUUAUGGAUUUAUUCACUUGUGAUUAGACCUGUCCACGGGCCGAGCCACCUAUCUUGGCAUGAAGGCCUACUUGAAAAGUGGGAGGGUUUGGGUACAAAUAUAGGCCCGAAAAAUGGGCUUGAGAAAAAAAUAGAAAAUGGAUCGGGCCUUGGAUAAUGCUUUUUUGGCCCGGGCACAGCCCGAAUAAGCAAAAAAAAAAAUGCUGCUUUUUCCUUGUUGUCUUUUACUUUUUUUUCCUAUUUUCUUGUUUUUUUUUUUCACUUUUUUGCUACUAUUUCACUAUUAUGUUGGUAUUAUUUUGUUGUUAUUGUUUGGAUAUUGUAGAACUCUUGUUUUAUUGUUAAUUUUAUUACUAUUUUAGAGACAUUUGCUUGUUAAAUUACAAUUAUCUUAGUGUUAUUUAAGUCUACAUAUAUAUUUAUUUUCAAUUUAUUUGGGAAACAUUUAUUUUAAUAUUUUUAUAUUUUUGAUGUAUUAUAUUUUUUAAAAAAUUAUAUAAUAUAAUAUAAAAAUUAAUAUGGGUGAGCCAAGCUUGGGCAAAAUCUUAGGCCCAUUUUUUGGGUCGGGCUUGGGCCUAACAAAUGGACCNNNNNNNNNNNNNNNNNNNNNNNNNNNNNNNNNNNNNNNNNNNNNNNNNNNNNNNNNNNNNNNNNNNNNNNNNNNNNNNNNNNNNNNNNNNNNNNNNNNNNNNNNNNNNNNNNNNNNNNNNNNNNNNNNNNNNNNNNNNNNNNNNNNNNNNNNNNNNNNNNNNNNNNNNNNNNNNNNNNNNNNNNNNNNNNNNNNNNNNNNNNNNNNNNNNNNNNNNNNNNNNNNNNNNNNNNNNNNNNNNNNNNNNNNNNNNNNNNNNNNNNNNNNNNNNNNNNNNNNNNNNNNNNNNNNNNNNNNNNNNNNNNNNNNNNNNNNNNNNNNNNNNNNNNNNNNNNNNNNNNNNNNNNNNNNNNNNNNNNNNNNNNNNNNNNNNNNNNNNNNNNNNNNNNNNNNNNNNNNNNNNNNNNNNNNNNNNNNNNNNNNNNNNNNNNNNNNNNNNNNNNNNNNNNNNNNNNNNNNNNNNNNNNNNNNNNNNNNNNNNNNNNNNNNNNNNNNNNNNNAGAAAAUCUCUCCUAAAAAAACAUAAGUUUAGAAUGUAAAUAUAAAUGAAACUUAAACCAAAGUAUUAUAAAUUGCAUUCACAUUUUGUUACCUUAAUAUUAGCGAGAGCCUGAUUUUUGUUGCUAUCAGGCAUGUGAUGCCAUGAUUCAUAGUUGAUGGGCAAUAUAUUUGCAUUUCGUGCUAAAAUGCCCAAAUAGCCUGCUAAAAGUCGAGCUUCAGAUCCAACAGGCUAACCAUGAGUAUUUCUACUUACUUUAACACGCUCAACAGGAUCUAAGUCGUAUAAAUCUCUAAGUAGCGUACGUCCUCGAACUCUGCGCGUCCCACCACUUUCAGCUGAAAAAUGAUAUACUAUUAUUAUAGUAAAAUUGACAAAUAAUUCAAUAAUAAAAGUCAACACAUGUAAAAUGAACAUAAUAUUACUUUGAAAUUCUUCAGGCUCAUCAAGUGUCUCCGGCACAUUCGAAGAUCCAACAACUGUCUGCUGUUCACUAUUUCUUUCUUCCGAAUUUGGAGUAUUCUGGACAAUACUUAAAUCUCGUACUCUUCUUCUACGCAUUUUUCCUGCAAUACACAUAAAAUAAUUAAAGUUUUAGUAACAAAUUACAACUAUAGUAGUACAUAUAAAAUAGUUAAAUUAUAUAACAUGACAAAGAUUAAAAUUAUAAUAUUACAUAUAAUUAAAAAAUUGUAAAAUCUUACUACAUCAUUAUUCGUAAAUAUCUUCAUCCACAUCAUGUCGAACCCAUUGAUGUUGUGUAUUAGUACUAGGGAUAUUUUCAUCUAAGUUUUGUUCUAGAAAAGGUAAUGUUUCUGAUCUUUCGACGAUGUCAUCUCUACUUCCAUUACCCAUGUCAAACAAGUCUCUAGGGGUGUUCCGGAGUACAACAUACCAACCCUCAUCAGUUGGAUCUUUUGAAUAAAAAACUUGUUUCACUUGAGAGGAAAAUACAUAUGGCUCGUCCAUCAAUUGUUGUCCAGUGUGAAUCAAGCGAGAGAAAUUCACCAUUGUAAACCCAAAUUGAUCUUUUUUAAUUCCUCGAGCAGUAUUAACAUCUGCCCAAUCACACCGAAAUAAGAUAACUUUCCAUCUGCCAUAGUAAUCCAACUCAAUAAUGUCGGUAAGAAGUCCGUAAUACUCCACAUUACCCUCAACCGGAUUACUAUCCCUAGCACUAGCAUAACUUGUAAUUGAAGAAUUAACAACAACUCCACAAUUUUGAGUUCUCCUCAUUCUCUCGCGAUACGUUGUAUGAAAUCUGUAUCCAUUGAUGAGGAAGGCACUAUAUCUUUUUAUUACUCUGUUCGGACCUUGGGAAAGCCAUUUAACUUCGUCAUUGACGUCCUUCCCACUCCAAACCUAUUGAAUCGAAAGUAAAUUAAAUAAUUAAAAAUGUAUUAUGUAAAAACAUUCUUAUUUGAUUAACUAAAUUUCGCGAUUAUAUGUAACUUAUUAACUUUAGUUACAUACCGUUUGACUUAACCAUUCAUGAAAAGAUUCUGUGAAUAACUUAUUAAUCUCUCGAUGUUGUAAUCUUCGAGAGCGUGCACGAGAUCUCAAAAUUUGUUUGUACUCACUAUAUUAAAAACAAGUUUAAUUGGUUAGAAGAUAAACAAAUCAAAACGACGAAUAUGUAAGACAAUUUUAUAACUUACUUGCGCAACGGUUCAAUUGAAUCGUGGUUAAAAAGUACAUAUCGAUGUGCCUGUAUUCACGAUAUAUCAUCUAAUUCUACAAUUUCAACUUUGCCGAUUGGUUCUCCAUAACUUUGAAAUAAAUAAGUUUAAGCCAAGUCAUUAUCAUUGAGCCCAGCAUUUCUACUUGGUCUAUUCAAUCGUGUUUCAGCAUCUUCUAAAUAUCUAGAACAGAAGGUCAUGCACUCUUCUGCCAAGUAGCCUUCAGCAAUUGAUCCUUCUGGAUAACGCUUGUUGCGACAAUAUGACUUCAAUUUGCUUAGGAACCUAAACACGAUAUACAAUAUUUAUCAAAAGCUGUAACUAAAUGUAUAGAGGUGAAUGAAUGAAUACUUGAGAAAUAAAUUAGCACCUUUCUAUAGGAUACAUCCAUCGAUAAAAAACCGGUCCACCAAGGAUUGCUUCGUGAGGGAGAUGGAUUACCAAGUGCACCAUAAUAGUGAAGAAGGAAGGUGGAAAGAUCUUCUCUAAAUUGCAUAAAGUUAAAGCCGCUCGAUCCUGUACUUUCUCAAGUUCUUCGACAUUCAAAACUUUGCCACAGAUAGCUUUCAUUAUAUUGGAUAGUUCAAUUAUACAGGACGUUACAUUUUUUGACAUACAGCACCGUAAAGCAAUUGUGAGUAAAUCUUGCAUCAAGAUGUGGUAAUCAUGUGAUUUUAAUGAAUAUAAUCUUCUAUCUUUGAAACUCACACAUCGAGAUAUAUUUGACGCAUAUGCAUCUGGGACCUUUAUAUCCUUCAACACCAUGCAGAAAACUUCUUUCUCUUUCUUUGACAUUGAAAAAAUAGAAGGCGGCAACCGAUAUUUCCCAUUCGGAAGUACUUGAGGAUGAAGAUCACGCCGGAUUCUUAUGUCAACUAAAUCAAGUCGGCUCUGAAGAUUGUCUUUUGAUUUUCCAUCGACAUUUAAAAUUGUCCCAAUUAUGUUCUCGCAGACAUUCUUUUCAAUAUGCAUGAUAUCAAGAUUGUGGCGUAAAAUGUUGUGCUCCCAAUAAGGCAACUCAAAAAAAAUACUCAUUUUCUUCCACAACUCCGCCUCAUUAGGAUCAUCCUCUUCGUCAGAUUCAUCAUCAGAUUCAUCCAUCGAUCUUCUCCUUGUUUGCGUGAUAGGUGGUUGAUUCAUCUUCCCGUAACUAAAGUUGAUAUCUUUUAACAUAAACAAGAUUUCAGAUCCAACGGUCUGCUCAGGAGCUCCUCUGUACUCUUUAGUACCGUCAAAUAGAGUCCUCUGAAAUCUAAAUUUAUGAUUUUCAUCUAACCACCGACGAUGGCCCAUGUAAGAGAACUUCUUCCCAUUAUACAACCACUUUGAACAAGUUUGCGCAGCACAACAAGGACAGGCAUAACGUUCUUUAGUACUCCAACCCGAUAAAUUAGCAUAAGCCGGGAAAUCAUUAAUUGUCCACGAUAAAGCUGCACGUAAAUUAAAGUUCUCCUUUCUCAAUACAUCAUAUGUCUCAACACCCGACCAUAAUUGUUUUAACUCUUCAAUAAGUGGCUGCAAAUAGAUGUCAAUAUCAUUUCCGGGACCUUUCUCUCCAGGGAUAAUCAUUGAUAAAAUAAAUGAAGAUUGCUUCAUGUAAAUCCAUGGAGGCAAAUUGUAAGGAACAAGCACUACAGGCCAAGUACUGUACGAAGUACUCAUGAUUUUAAAUGGAUUAAAGCCAUCAGCUGCUAGCCCAAGCCUCACAUUCCGAGGAUCGCUUGCAAAGCUUGGAAAUUUACUGUCAAAUGAUUUCCAAGCUAAAGAAUCCGAAGGAUGUCUUAAUAAUCCAUCAUCGGUCCGUUGAUCAUUAUGCCACGUCAUAUAUUCGGCUGUCUUUGAGGACAUGAAAAGCCUUUGAAGUCUUGGUAUCAGGGGAAAAUAUCGCAAGACCUUGACUGGCUUCUUUCUUAACUGUGCCCCACCUUCAUCCGUAUUCACAUCUUCUGUAUUACUAUUCAUCCAACGAGACUUACCGCAAACAUGACAAAAUUGUUGGUUUUUUUUAUCACCCCAGUACAACAUGCAGUCAUUUGGGUAACUAUGAAUUUUAUCGUACCCAAGGCCCAAAUCUUUUAUUAGUCUCUUCAUGUCUUGACAAGACUGGGGAAUUUUUGCAAACGAAAACAUCUCUCUUAGAAACUCUAGCAGCAUUGUAAAAGAGUUUCCGGUCCACCCUCCCAAACAUUUUAAAUGAAAUAGACGAAUGCAGAAGGACAAUUUCGAAUAUUUUGAUCCCUCGUAAAGUUCUUCAUUCAUUUCAUUAAGUAAAUUGUAGAACUUAGCCGCUUCUUCAUUUGGCUCCUCAUUAGGUGCACUUGUUCCCGUUUCGCAAAAAACAUUUCCACCAAUAUUACAAUCCUCAGAUAUAAUAAAGUCAGGUGGAAACGAUUGCUCACCAUGACUACGCAUAUUAAAUGCAUCCCGCAACAUAUCUUCCAUGUCAUCUUGUCUAACAUACUGAUGGUAAUCAGUAUCAGGAUAAGUCGGAUUAAUCGUUGAAGAAGUUCCACUAGAUGUACACUCUCCAUGGAAAAUCCAUUUUUUAUACCCCCGAAUAAAGCCAUCAACAAUUAGAUGUUCGUAUACAACUUCACGAAAAUGCCAGUAGAUGUUGCCACACUUCUUACACGGGCAAAGAAUCAUAUUCUCUUGGCUUGCAUUUUGAAAUGCAAAAUUUAGAAAAGUUUGUACUCCAUUUUGAUAGGCAUUGCUUACCCUUGACAAUUUCAUCCAACUCCUAUCCAUUUUGUAGUUCUUGAAAUCUAAAGUUGACAACAUAUUACAGUUACUUAAAUGUUCUCAAUUGAUUUAAAUCAUAUCAUUAUACUAAAUAUCAAGUCUCUAAUGGGUAUAAACUAAUUUAGGCAAGUUGCAGGAUUUUCAACUAUAGAUUUAUGUAUUAUGUAAGUUAAGUAAAUUUUGUAAACUAGUUAUGUAUGAUAUGAUAUAUAUUUAAGUAUUAUGUAAGUUAUGUAAUUUAUGAUAUAUAUUUAUGUAAAUUAUAUAUUUAUCUACGUUAUAUAAGUUAUGUACGUUUUGUAAGUUAUAUAAAUUAUGAUAUCAAAUAUAUUUAUGUAUUAUGUAAGUUUUUUAUUUCACGAUGUGGAAAAUCACAUGGAUAAUACAUAUCAAGUAUCAAGUAUCUACAGGUAAGUAGCGGGAUUAAAUAAUAUUUAAUUAAAUAAUAUUUAUAAAAAUUAUUUUAAUUAAGUAAUAUACAUGUCGUUCGUUUUUAUUUGACAAAUCACAUGUGCAAUUAAAAUAGUCCACACUUAAUUUAAUUUAUGUUUUACAAGUCAUCUUUUCUUAAGUACAUAUUAAAGCACUGUGUGGACAUCCGUAUUUAGGUUAAAAGCUAUGAUUUAGUUUGAAUAAAAAGUUUAACUUAAACGGUAAAAUGGACGAUAAUAUUUGUGAUAAAACGGAGAAUUUUUUAAGAUUCAUCAUACGUGGCGUUGUUACACCUAGGGAGGAUCCAUUAUAUCUUGCAGCUCGAUAUAAGGCAACCCGUCAGGUUUCCAGCCUAUAUACUUUGAAUCUUUAAAAUAUUUAAAUAUUAAAAUCAAACAUUAUUAAUAUAAAAAAAUAGUAUUUUGAAUAUAAUAAUAUCAAAAAAGAAUCGUAGUUUAAUUUUUAUAAGUAAAUUGGAAAUAAAUUAAGGUUAUAUAAAUAUUCAAUAGUAAAUGAGCUCGAUAGAACUUUUUUCAAGUCUUUUUGAAUUUUUUAAGAUUCAUCAUACGUGGCGUUGUUACACCUAGGGAGGAUCCAUUAUAUCUUGCAGCUCGAUAUAAGGCAACCCGUCAGGUUUCCAGCCUAUAUACUUUGAAUCUUUAAAAUAUUUAAAACAAGGUUGGAGAGAAGGUCAGCUAUUGUUGUAAUUUUAAUGGACAAGCAAGCUACACGGUAAUAAAAUUAAUUCAUACCUAUUCAUACUUAAGUUGAAUCAAAUAAUAAUUAAGUUGAACCAAAUAUUUAAAAUUAACUUGGAAACAAAAUAGUUUUACUCCAAACAGAACCAACAAUUAAAUCUUUACAAUAUCGCAACCCCAAAAUAUUAAUUUUUCCAAAAUCAUCAUGAUAAAACUAUUAUUGAUUAUAAUUUUGAAAUAAAGCCUACCUUAAUAAAACGUACCUGGUCUACUCCACUCUCACCAGCAAACAGAGGCUGGAGUCAAAAAAGUAAUAUUUGUUAAGUAAUUUAAAGUGAAAAUGCAUAGAAAUAAUGAAAAAAAUUUAGCAACCAAACCUGUACGUACCUAGAACAAAUGCCAAUAGCUGUGGUGUAUUUAGUUGCACCAAAUAUUAAUUCAGGAGCUCGAUAGUACCUAGAACAGACGUAAGAUUAUAAGAGUAGCACAAAUAUAUUUCAGUUUAAGCAAAUAUAAAAACUUUAUCUAUAUCAGUUUUGCAAGUGCCCACUUGUACCAGGAUCAAAGACACUGCCAAUGAAGCUGUACACCACAGCAAAAUCUGGCAAAACUGCACAGUAAACACAUAAGUUGGAUAGAAACAUGAAAACAGACCAAAAGAACAUCUAAAAAACCAAAAUGGAAUCACCAUUAUUAUGUAAACAUGAAAAUGCACAGCUUUAAACAAACCAACUUUGCAUGUGCAGAAUCAUACUGCACAAAACUCAUAAACAUUAACUUCUCCUAACCAGAAUACCAACUUUAUGUUUACAGAGGCCUUGAUGAAAACUAACAUAACUAUCGUCCAACUAAAUUCAAAUUAAACUCUAGCUGAGAGGUUAAACCUGGUACACCCAAGUCCUAAACUCAUUUUGCGGUGAUUACAUUGUUAGAAACAAGAUGGCAUGAGGACAAAGGAAUAAAGAGGAUUAAAAUGAGAAACACAAAUAACUAUCGUUUGAAUCGAACACUAAGGCACUUUCCUGUCUUAAAAGAAUAAACAAAUGCUGUGAUAUUUUUAUUUUUCUGAAUUCUGAUACACAUCACACAUAACGUUGUACAUAAGUUUCUGAAUGUUUAAAUCAUUGUCAUAAUCUAAAGACUUAAUGUCUUUUAAAUUUUAAUUAAGAUUUAUGAUAAUAUAUUAAAUUAAACAUAAAUCAAUGUCGUUAAUAUCAAAUCCAACUCUUGCCGGCCCACAAAACAAGUCUCAAGAAUAUUACACCUUAUUACCAAAUUAAUGAUGUAAAUGUACAUUAUUCGGACAAAAAACAUCAUAUUUGAUAGAAAUAUAAUAAAUUUUAGGUUAAAUUCAUAAAAACCAUUUUAAUGGGACCCUUGAAAAAAUUAUAAUAAUGAAAUGCAAUUGUUUAAGAAACAUUGGAUAAUAAUGAUUUGAAUUUGUUUAAGGGAAUUAAUCAAGGAGAGUGUUGAAGAUUAAAUAAUGAUGGUGGCUAGCUAAAGCUUGAAAGCUAAAGAGAAAACAUAACAUGUGAGAAUGGGAAUAUACUUUUUCACUUUCUUCCUUUUUGUUCCUUACAUUUCUAGCAAUUAGGUUGGAAAAGGAAGAAAUUAAAGUCCAGUCUAAAAGUUUCCCACUCUUUUUUAUCCUAAAUUAAAAAAAAGUAUCUUAAAUGAGGUUAUCAACAUAAAAGUAAAAACAUGUUGAAAGAAACAUAAAUGUUAGGGAAGACAAUGUUUACCUUGAUUGAAUUGGAAAUGUUUUCUUGAGGGUUUAUUUGGAGAUGCUUGGGAUUGAUCUCUAAUAAUGUCGAGAGACUUCCCUACUCAUUGCAUUUGAAGAACAGAAGUCUGUUUCUGGUCGACAAAACAAUCAAAUGAGUUCUAAAAAUAAACAACAUUUAAUGGUACAAAAUGCAAUCCGACUCCUAGUAUAGAGGCUUUCAUGGUACUUUUACCAAUUAACGGCAUAUGACAAGGCUGAGAGUAGCUUGUACAUUUUGCUAACGAGCCAACGGUUUCAAGAAAUUAAGUUUACAAAGAACUAAAACUACUGGACGAAAAAUUAAAAUUUAAAACAUACCGACAGUUUUUGGUACAACUUCGCCAUACAAUCCAAUAACUAUUCUACCUGUAAAACACAAAUUACACAAAAAAGAAAAUGUAAGCUAAAAAAAGGAUAAGAUUUCUUCUCAUCACUUAUCCUAUCCUGUAGGAAUAGGUGAAGGCGUUGUAUCUACACACUGGCCAUCAAUAUCCACAUCCAAGUAUACUCUGUGAGUGAUUUCAUGCUCUUCUUCUACAAUCUUCUCUUCCUCCUAAGAAGCACAAAAUGCGAACUAUUAUUGCAUUAAUCUAUCAAGAUCGAUAAACAUUAAAGGAAAUUGCAGCCUCGAGCUUGUCUCAACCAAGCACAUUCAGUUAUAAAGUUCAAAUUUCGAACAAGCGAAUGCUCAGAUUAUAAGAGUAUUGCAUCUUUCAUGAAGGGUAUCACAGAAACAAGCUUUAAACUAAGCCUAUAUUACUUAGAUGUUAGUGUCAGAUACAGAUACUUAUCUAACAUAGAUGUACUCAAUUUUAUUUUUUUCUAGAUUCUUUUUAUGUAUUUAAAAGGGUUCGAACAUGAGUACUUGAAGUAAAACUAGGCUUAUGAUAUGAAUAUAUAUAUGUAUGUAUGUAUGUAUAACAUAAAUGUAUUCAUUUUUUUCUAAUUUUUUCCAUGUACUUAAGUACUUUAAGUAAACUAAUACUUAAAGCAACAUAAAACUAGACUAUUCAAUGCAAUCUGAGAUAUACAAUAUCAAAAAAUGAAAAAAAAAUCCAAUAAAUUCAAGAAAAUUCCACACAGAUCAACAAAAUCAAAUCAAAACGAAACACAACCAACCAAAUUCAUGAAACUAAAAUUUAAAUAAAAACCCAAAUCUGUUCUACAGUACCAAAAACAAGAAAUAAACAAAAAAAUCCAAAUCAGAUCCAAAGGGCAACAUAUUUACACAUAAUCCAAGAAAUGGGUAUAUAAAAAUGAACAAGAAAAGUUUUAAAAAAACGCACCUGUUUUGCUCCUGAGAAAGCGAAAAUGAGGAGAAUUGAGAGAGAAAUGAAGCAUAUGACCGUCGACGAGAGGAAAGGGAAAAUCGUUAGGGAUUUCGGGGAUGGGGGAACAGAUUAAGGGAAAAUCGUUAGGGAUUGGGGAUUUGGAGAAGGAAGACAAGAUGGGGGAAAAUGACUUAGUAAAAAAAUGAAAUUGAUUUCGGGUAAAGGGCAUAAACCUCAGGAGAGAAAAAAUGACACCGUUUCAAAUAAGGGAAAUUUGUGGCGUUUUCAGCAACGCGCCGCUAAUAAGACAUUUUGCAGCGUUUUCAGCAAAGCGCCACUAACACCUAUUUUAUCUACACUAUAAAAUGAUGCCGUUCUAAUACGCGUUGUGGCGUUUAUUAUAAAAACGCCGCUAAAGCCACUACUAUUCAGAGGAAACGACGCCGUUUUACUUUAAUCUAUAAUGAAAUUUUGUGGUGUUUUUUUAUAAAAACGCCGCUAUUUUCUAUCUUUUGCGGCGUUUUAUGUAUAAACGCCGCUAAUACCUGAAUAUUUUAUAGAAAUUGAUCAAAAUUUAAAACUAUAUAUUUAGAAUUUCUUUUAAAUUAUAUAUAAACCCUAAAACCCUAACUAUAGUUGAAACUUUAAUUUUGAUUUAAUACACAUUUUAAAAUACAUAUUAUGUAUGCAUGUAAAUUAAUUAAAUAAAAACAUGAUGCUAUUUAUAAUUAUAUCAAUAACGUGUAAAUAUUUUACAAGAUCUAAAUCAAAUCACAGUUCAUGUACACAAUUGCACACUAAAUCACUUUUCAUAUAUAUAUUUAUAUAUUUUUUAAAAUAAUAUUUUAUAUAUAUUUAUCUUAUAUACAUUUAUCUUCUAAAUUAAAAUCCAAAAUUAUACUCUAAAUUUGAAACCCUAAACUUGAUACUCUAAAACCCUAAACCUUAGACCACAAACACAGAACCCCUAGCCCCAAACUUUAAACCCCAAAACCAUUCGGUAACCCCUAAACCAACCAUAACUCCUAGACCAUAAAGCCCAAACAGUAAAGUACUCUAAAAAUUGUUAACCCUAAACCAUAAUAAACAUAUUAUUGGGAAUUCGUGUGGCCAAUGUUAGUGUAGUACAAAUUAAAACACAUAUAUAUAUGUUUAUAUUCUUAUAUUAAAUAAUAUGAGUACGUAUAUACAAAAUAACAUGAAUCUUAGUAAAAUCCAAAUUUUCUUCAGUUAAUUUCUAGCUAAUAGUAUCAUUUCCUUAAACCCUAACCUAAACUUAAUUUUUAACAUAUUUUAUUUCAGUCAUUCUAUUUAAUCUAAAUAUAUUUAAACAAAAAAAUAGAUAAUUAAAAAUACACAAUAGCAUUAUUAUUUAUACAAAGUUACAUAACUUUAAUAAAACAAUUAAUUCUCUAUUGGAACACUCUAGUUAUAAUGUCCACUCUGUAAGAUAUUUCUAUGUUAUAUAAGAAAUUAUACAUAGUUCAACAAAUGCUAAUUCCACAUUCAAAAUCACCCUUUCUUAAUAGCAUCCCAAGUAAGAAUCUGGAAAGGAAAUUAUCUCUUAAGAAGUUAAUUAAUAAUUGUCCCAUUGUAAACUUUAACCCUAACCUUUAAACCCUAAAUCAUAAUCCUUAAACCCCGAAUUCAUCAUAAACCUUCAAAUACUAAUUAACUCCUAAACCUUAAACCAUAGUUAACCAUAAUUAAACCUGCUUAAACCAUAAACCUUAAACUAUAAUGAUAAUUAAUUCAAUAUUUUAAAUUCAAUGCUAUCUCUUUUACGAUUAUAUAAGAAAAUAUUUAAUAUAUUGUAUAAUCAUAAAUUUUAAUAAUUAUUGUUUUAGGGGUUAUAGAUUAGUGUUUAUGAUUCUAGGGGUUAUGAGAUUUUUAGCGGCGUUUUACCGAAAGCGCCGCUAAUGCUUUGGCUUUUAGCGGCGUUUUACCUAACGCGCCGCUAAUGCUCUGGCUUUUAGCGGCGUUUUACCGAAAGCGCCGCUAAUGCUCUGGCUUUUAGUGGCGUUUUACAGAAAGUGCCGCUAAUGCUCUGGCUUUUAGCUCUGUUUUUUACUAAAACGCCGCUGUUGCUCUGUUUUUAGCGGCGUUUUUUUUUAGAACGCCGCUAUUGCUCUGAAUUUUAAAAUUUUGGCGGCGUUUUUUCAAAAAACGCCGCUAAAGCCCUAUUUUCCUGUAGUGUAACCUCGAAAAUUUAUCUUUAUGAACCUUAAACAUGAAAUCUAUCUUUGAUCAUACCUAAAAAAUAUAUUUUAAUUUAGGACAUUAAUAACUUAAAUGUCAUUUUUUUCGAAUUGACUUUAACCCCACUACUAUGAGUUCAGCCAUGUUUAGGAUUUAGUUCAUUUAUUCCAAAUUGAUAGCCUUAAGGCAUCCCAAGCAAUCCAAGGAAGAACUUCACCAAAUUUGAUUUCAGCAUUAGCCGUGCAAAUUCAGCAGUUGUUACAAAACAAAGAACAUUGGGUGAUAAGGCAUAUACCUAGGGAGACUAAUCAUGUUGUUGGUCGUAUUGUAAAUAUAGUUAUUGUGGAUGCAAAAGGGGUACAUGUCUUGCCAAAAGCCCCUAUGAAGUUAUUUGAAGCCCUUGAUAAUGAUAAAAUUAGUGGUGCUUUUAAUUUUGUCAGUUUAGUUUGGGUUUUUUACCAAAAUAGUACCAAAAAAAAAACACACACACACAUAAAAAUAAUACAAUAAAAAUAUCAUGUACCAAAAUGGUACACUCGGGGUGGUGUUGCCUAUGUCAGAGGCGUAACCACCCCAAAAUCUGACAAAAAAUCUAUUAAAAAAUUUAAAAAAAUAAAAAUUUGUUAAAAAAAACUAAAAAGCUGGUAAAAAAAGUGACGGAGGAGGUGCCAGAGGCAGACUGAAGGUGGAGGUGCCAGAGGCGGCACCAAGGAUGCACGGCCUCCUUUAUAAAAUAAAAUAAAAUAAAUUACCUUUUCUCUAUUAGAUUUUUUUCUCUUCUCUUUCUCCUUCCUUCUUUCUCUCUAUUCUCUCAUUCUCUUUUUCUUUUUCUUUCUUCUUUUUCCCUCACCAGUGCCACCCUCUCCUUCUCAUUCUCCUUCUCUUUUUCUUUCUUUUUCUCUUCUUCUCCCUGCUGCUUGCUUCACCGGAGCUAUUGCUGAACUUGGGAGGACCUUGUAACAUCCCGAAAUAGGGCCUAAACGGAAUAGUGGUUGCGAAACCACAAAUUUGAGGUAGAAAAAUUUAUUUUAUUAUUAUUUUGAGGUUCAUGGUAUGAUUGCAUGAUUGUGUGAAAAUUUUGUGAUGAAAUUCUAUGCAUAAAGUGCUUAAGUUGAGGUUAGGGACUAAAUCGAAUAAUUUGCAAAACUUGCAUUCUAGAAGUUUUUAGUAUGAAAUUACUUUGGAAUAUUAAUUAGGAGGGUUUAAAUAACAAUUUGACCAAUUUUAAGUUCAUGGACAAAAAUUAGGACAUUGAAGGAAUUUUUGAAAGUUUAGUAAGGAGGGGUAAUUUGGUCAUUUGGAUAUUAAAUGAAUUAAAAAGGGAAAAAUAACACAAAAAUGGUCAUCUUCUCAAUUAGUUUCUGCCAAUUUUUGCUCUCCUCCAUAGCUGGGAUUUCUUCAACUUUCAAGCUUCAUAGUAAGUGAUUCCAAGCCCCGUUUUUAAUGAUCUUUACGUUUUUGGAGUCCCGGUAACUUGAUUAAGCUUAUUCUAGCAAUAAUUCAACAUAGGGUUCAUAUUUGGAAAAAUACCCAUGGCUGAAUUUUGUGUAUUUUGGUGUUUUAUGAUAGAAUAUGAGGUUUUAAAUUAUGUUAAACAACUUAUGCUACUCGGUUUUAAGUGAAAACGAGUAAAAUGGCUUAAAUUGGAUAAAAAAUACCAAUAGUCAUAAGUAUAUGUUAGAGUGUGAUUUUGAUAUUGCCAUAGAAGGGAAAAAUGAUCAGCAUGUCAUAAAACAUAAGAAAAUAAGAUGAAGUUUAAUUUACGAGCCUUGGGGCAAAAGUGCAAAUAUGUGAAAGUUUAGGGGUAAAAUUAUAAUUUUGCAAAAGUUGGGUCAAGGACCGUUUUAAUAAAUGUGAAUAUUAAAUAAGUUAAAUUUGCUAUUAUAGAUCAAGAAGAACGAAAUUCGGGAGUGGAUCGGGGAAAAGAAAAAGUAAAGGACUAAAUUGUAAAGUUUAGUCACAUUUUGUAUCAAGGUAAGUUACAGUAAAAAAAUGCGAUAUUCUUUUAUUUUACAUUAUUAUUGUCAAUUUCCAGCAUUUAUAUAUUAUGUUAUGAAAAUAUUUAAAGUCAAAUUUAAGGUGAAGUGACAGAGGAAAAGUGUUAGAAAGCCCCGGUUGAACCCUAGGAAUGUUAGGAUAUUAGGGUUGACAGGACAAAACAAAAAUGAGCCAUGUAAGUCCAUAUUAGAAAUAUGGCUUUGGAGACAGGAUUGAGCCAUGUAAGUCCAUAUUAUAUAUGGCAUUGGAGACAGGAAUAAUUCAUGUAAGUCCAUGUCAAAGAUAUAGCAUUGGCAGGAUAUUGAUAGACAGGAACGACCCUAGUAUCCUUAAUAUUCCGAGUGGUUCAACGGGUCAGGAUACGAGUUAAAUUACAGUGAAUUAACAGCAAAGGAAAAGUAGAUUAUACUUAUGAAAAAGGAAAGGUCAGGUAAGAAAGAAGGUAAGGGAAUAAAGAAGAAGAUAGAAAUUGAGAAGUAAAGAAAUUUAUGAUGUUAGAUGAUAUUAUGCAUAAUUAUCCAUUAUGUUGAAUGUUGUGAUUUAUUUGCUUGUAAGCUUACUAAGCCUAGUGCUUAAUCUAUUUAUUUUCUUCUUCUUAUAGUACUUAUCUAGUCACUCGGGGAUCGAAGGAAACGUCGGAGGCCGAUCACACUAUCAAAGAAAUAACUCGGUAUAACUAGACAUUUUGUUUUGGGUAUGGCAUGUAUAGAAACUUAGCUACUUUUGGUAUAAUAUGAACAAUGAAUGAUGUGUAAAUACUUGCUAGUGAUUAGCUAAUAAAAUAGCCG